rnacentral:rRNA from 1 species
UAAAGCAAAGAAGAGCGCAGAGUGAAUGCCUUGGCAUUGGGAGCCGAUGAAGGACGUGGUUAACUGCGAUAAGCUGCGGGGAGCUGUAAGCAAGCUUUGAUCCGCAGAUUUCCGAAUGGAGCAAUCCACAUGAAGUAGUUCAUGUAUCCAUACGUGAAUUCAUAGCGUAUGGAGGGGAACCGCCUGAACUGAAACAUCUAAGUAGGGCGAGGAAGAGAAAUCAACCGAGAUUCCGUAAGUAGUGGCGAGCGAACGCGGAAGAGGCCAAACCGAGAGAAGAAAUUCUUUCGGGGUUCGGACUGCAUUUAGUAUUCUUGAUCUUUAGUCGAACAGUCUGGGAAGGCUGACAAGAAAGUGUGAUAGUCACGUAGACGAAAAGGAGAAAGAGCGAGCAGUAUCCAGAGUACCGCGGGGCACGUGAAAUCCCGUGGGAAGAUGGGGGGACCACCCUCCAAGCCUAAAUACUACCCAAUGACCGAUAGCGUAAAGUACUGUGAAGGAACGGUGAAAAGAACCCCGGGAGGGGAGUGAAAAGAACCUGAAACUCUGUGCUUACAAGCACAUAGAGCACGUCAAUGUGUGAUAUGGUACCUUUUGUAGAAUGGUCCGGCGAGUUAUGGUAUGCAGCGUGGUUAAGGACUUCAGGUCUGAAGCCGAAGCGAGAGCGAGUCUGACAAGGGCGAAAAGUUGUAUGCCAUAGACCCGAAACCGGGUGACCUAGCCAUGUCCAGGCUGAAGUGGAGGUAAAACUCCAUGGAGGGCCGAACCGACCUCCGUUGAAAAGGCGGCGGAUGAGAUGUGGCUAGCGGAGAAAUUCCAAUCGAACCCGGAUAUAGCUGGUUCUCCCCGAAAUAGCUUUAGGGCUAGCGUUGUAUUAGAUUACCGGAGGUAAAGCACUGAAUGGGCUAGGGGCUGAGAAGUUACUGAACCCUAUCAAACUAAGAAUGCCGGAUAAUUGAUGUACAGCAGUCAGACUAUGUGAGAUAAGUCUCAUAGUCAAAAGGGAAACAGCCCAGACCCACAGCUAAGGUCCCAAAAUGGAUUUAAGUGGAAAAGGAUGUGGAAUUGCACAGACAACCAGGAUGUUGGCUUAGAAGCAGCCACUCAUUAAAAGAGUGCGUAAUAGCUCACUGGUCGAGUGACUCUGCGCCGAAAAUUCAACGGGGCUAAAAUUCAUACCGAAGCUUGGGCUUGACAGUAAUGUCAGGGGUAGGGGAGCGUCGUAUACGAGGUGAAGUCAUAGCGGAAGCGGUGGUGGAUUGUAUACGAGUGAGAAUGCCGGAAUGAGUAGCGAGAAUUAUGUGAGAAUCAUAAUGGCCGAAAGUCUAAGGUUUCCUGAGGAAGGUUCGUCCUCUCAGGGUUAGCCGGGAGCUAAGGUGAGGCGGAAACGCGUAGCCGAUGCACAUACGGUAGAAAUUCCGUAGCCUCCGAAGAUUUAAGCACAGGGACACUUUUGAAGGGCUGAGCCGGGCGUUGGUUGCCCCGGUCGAAAGGGACACGAUUGAGUGGAAGUCAGUUUGGAAAGAGGCGAGAAAAGCUGUGUGUAUAUGAAAGGAGCCCGUACCGCAAACCGACACAGGUAGACAGGAAGAAGAUUCUAAGGCCAGCGGGAGAAGGGUUGUUAAGGAACUCGGCAAGUUGACCCCGUAACUUCGGGAGAAGGGGUGCUUACGAAGGUAAGCCGCAGAGAAUAGGCCCAAGCGACUGUUUAGCAAAAACACAGCUCUAUGCUAAAUCGAAAGAUGACGUAUAUGGGGUGACACCUGCCCGGUGCUGGAAGGUUAAGAGGAGAUGUGAGAGCAUCGAAUUGAAGCCCCAGUAAACGGCGGCCGUAACUAUAACGGUCCUAAGGUAGCGAAAUUCCUUGUCAGGUAAG